rnacentral:rRNA from 1 species
CAGUCGAGCGGACAGAAGGGAGCUUGCUCCCGGAUGUUAGCGGCGGACGGGUGAGUAACACGUGGGUAACCUGCCUGUAAGACUGGGAUAACUCCGGGAAACCGGAGCUAAUACCGGAUAGUUCCUUGAACCGCAUGGUUCAAGGAUGAAAGACGGUUUCGGCUGUCACUUACAGAUGGACCCGCGGCGCAUUAGCUAGUUGGUGAGGUAACGGCUCACCAAGGCGACGAUGCGUAGCCGACCUGAGAGGGUGAUCGGCCACACUGGGACUGAGACACGGCCCAGACUCCUACGGGAGGCAGCAGUAGGGAAUCUUCCGCAAUGGACGAAAGUCUGACGGAGCAACGCCGCGUGAGUGAUGAAGGUUUUCGGAUCGUAAAGCUCUGUUGUUAGGGAAGAACAAGUGCAAGAGUAACUGCUUGCACCUUGACGGUACCUAACCAGAAAGCCACGGCUAACUACGUGCCAGCAGCCGCGGUAAUACGUAGGUGGCAAGCGUUGUCCGGAAUUAUUGGGCGUAAAGGGCUCGCAGGCGGUUUCUUAAGUCUGAUGUGAAAGCCCCCGGCUCAACCGGGGAGGGUCAUUGGAAACUGGGAAACUUGAGUGCAGAAGAGGAGAGUGGAAUUCCACGUGUAGCGGUGAAAUGCGUAGAGAUGUGGAGGAACACCAGUGGCGAAGGCGACUCUCUGGUCUGUAACUGACUCUGAGGAGCGAAAGCGUGGGGAGAGAACAGGAUUAGAUACUGUGGUACUCCACAACCCUAUACGAUGAGUGCUGAUAGUUGUGGGAGUUUCCCCCCCCUCUUGCUGCAGCAAGUUACCAGUCACC